UACAGAGGUCCCAAGCGUUGUUCGGAUUCAUUGGGCGUAAAGGGUGUGUAGGUGGCGCCGUAAGUGGGGUGUGAAAUCUCGGGGCUUAAUUCCGAAACUGCAUUCCAUACUGCGGUGCUUGAGGACUGGAGAGGAGACUGGAAUUCAUGGUGUAGCAGUGAAAUGCGUAGAGAUCAUGAGGAAGACCAGUGGCGAAGGCGGGUCUCUGGACAGUUCCUGACACUGAGACACGAAGGCCAGGGGAGCAAACGGG
rnacentral:rRNA from 1 species